rnacentral:SRP_RNA from 1 species
CCGUGCUAGACGGGGAGGUAGCGGUGCCCUGUAACUCGCAAUCCGCUGUAGCGAGGUUGAAUUCCUGUCUGAGGUUAUGCUGAUGCGGGGUUGGUAUUUGCAAUCAAUGUUGACAGUUGGGUCCUCCGCAAUGGGCAUCUGUGAACCCGGUCAGGUCCGGAAGGAAGCAGCCGUAAGCAGAUCUGUUCAUGUGUUGGAGGAGUGCCUGGCUCGAGUUGAAGUGCAAAGGUGCCACCCGGGUCGCAUGGAUCGGGGGCAGGUGCACGG